GCAAGUGCCGUAAAACUCUUACUAAAAAAAAAAAAGAACUUGAUUCUUUGAGAAAUAAUUUUUCUUCUCCUGUGUAGUUUGACCCUGUCAGAGGACUGGCCUUUGGAGGGAUUACCUAUCUGCCCUGGAAAGGUCGUUCAGCUCAUACUGUGCCCUAUAAUUCCAAUUGUAUUAACAAUUUUUGCAGACUCAAGAGUUACCAGGAGUUGUGGGUGCACCGUUAGCUCAGUUAGUACCCUGGAUCGAAUCCUCAAUGGGGUGUUCUGAACCGGGAGGGGGGGGGGGUAAUGAGAGUUUUGAAGGCUCUCAAACGACUAAGCUUCAUCCUAUCAGAAAUGAACACUACAUUCGGAUGUCCCGCCUCUUAAAAAUAACUGUGCAGUGUUGAAAGGCGUGUUAAACCUAUAUAUAUGCAUACAAUUUUUAUUUCCAGGAGUCAUUAAUUUCGAGUAACUGAAUUUUUAAGAAAUUGAACUUAAAAACUUAACGCAAUGUUUUAAAAACAAGAUUGCCAACAUAUUGUUCCUUAAAAAUCAAGAGGAUAGGUGAAGGUAGUUUCUUGGGUUUGGCCUUGGGGAAAAAUAAAUUGUUUUAUAUUAUAAGUGUAUGGAGAAAGGUGGAGAUCUAAAAAUUUUUUUUAUGUAUCUUUGAGAAAAUUGUAGUGUUUUAGAAAGGGAGACCACAAUGUUUACACUUGUGGACAUAACUAGGAAGGAAUUGCUGUUUCAUUUAUUGCUCCUUUUGGGCUUUUUUCCUGAUGUUCUUUUCCGAAGUGAGCAUGCUAGGAUGUUUCUUACAGAGAGAAAAUUCGAUUCUUGUCAAAGUAAACUAAUGUGGCUUCAUUUUCCAUUUUCCUGAGCAGCUUGAAAAAUUAAAAAAUGCAGGUAAGAAAAAACAAAAACUGGUUACCUCUACCGGAGGAAGUUGUGGACUUAAGUAUCGGGUGGUACCUAUGAUGAGUUUGACAAUGAAUUAGUCACAGUUUAUUAUAGUAGCAUAUUUACUGUUUUGAAUGAUAAAAUUUCAAAAUUUCAUUUUCUUUUUCCUUCUCAUAGUAACUUGAACUGUCACUGUCAGUCUUGGCUCUGAAUUGGUUUUUAUUAAACCCAAUUUAGAAGCCUUUCUCUGAGGGCAAGCAGACAAGUUGAGUGGAUGUUGCAGUUUAAUGACGUCAUCACCCUAUUGGGUUUGAGAUGAGAAAAGAGGACUAGGGAAGACCCUAUUGCAUCUCCAACUCCAAGGCGGCACAUCCAGUGAGGGAAAUCUACUUCACAGGAGAGCUGUUGGAGUGGAAAAACUGUCAAGACUGCGAACAUGUACAUGUACCAUGGGGCUUUCACAAAGCUGAAUAAAUGUUGUCAAGAUGUUUUUCAGGUCACCCGUGCUGUCAGUCGUGAAUACAUGAAGGCCCUACUUCAAACCCUCUGAAGACUCCGAGGAAAAAUUGCCUUCUUUCAUACAAAGUGAUACACCCCAUUGUCAAAAAUAGAAAAUAAAGUACCUUUUUUGUUUCCUAUUUUGGUAACUGAAUUUU